rnacentral:rRNA from 1 species
CAGUAGCCGCGGUAAUACGGAGGGUGCAGGCGUUAAUCGGAAUUACUGGGCGUAAAGCGCACGCAGGCGGUUUGUUAAGUCAGAUGUGAAAUCCCCGAGCUUAACUUGGGAACUGCAUUUGAAACUGGCAAGCUAGAGUCUUGUAGAGGGGGGUAGAAUUCCAGGUGUAGCGGUGAAAUGCGUAGAGAUCUGGAGGAAUACCGGUGGCGAAGGCGGCCCCCUGGACAAAGACUGACGCUCAGGUGCGAAAGCGUGGGGAGCAAACAGGAUUAGAUACCCCGGUAGUCCCUGUCUCUUAUAC